rnacentral:rRNA from 1 species
GACGUAGGGGGCGAGCGUUGUCCGGAUUUAUUGGGCGUAAAGCGCGCGUAGGCGGCCGCUCAAGUCGGAUGUGAAAAUCCGGGGCUCAACCCCGGACCUGCAUUCGAUACUGGGCGGCUAGAGGCAGGUAGGGGAGAGCGGAAUUCCUGGUGUAGCGGUGAAAUGCGCAGAUAUCAGGAGGAACACCGGUGGCGAAGGCGGGUCUCUGGGCCGAUACUGACGCUGAGGAGCGAAAGCGUGGGGAGCGAACAGG